UAGGGAAUCUUCCACAAUGGGCGCAAGCCUGAUGGAGCAACACCGCGUGAGUGAAGAAGGGUUUCGGCUCGUAAAGCUCUGUUGUUAAAGAAGAACACGUAUGAGAGUAACUGUUCAUACGUUGACGGUAUUUAACCAGAAAGUCACGGCUAACUACGUGCCAGCAGCCGCGGUAAUACGUAGGUGGCAAGCGUUAUCCGGAUUUAUUGGGCGUAAAGAGAGUGCAGGCGGUUUUUCUAAGUCUGAUGUGAAAGCCUUCGGCUUAACCGGAGAAGUGCAUCAGAAACUGGAUAACUUGAGUGCAGAAGAGGGUAGUGGAACUCCAUGUGUAGCGGUGGAAUGCGUAGAUAUAUGGAAGAACACCAGUGGCGAAGGCGGCUACCUGGUCUGCAACUGACGCUGAGACUCGAAAGCAUGGGUAGCGAACAGGAUUAGAUACCCUGGUAGUCCAUGCCGUAAACGAUGAGUGCUAGGUGUUGGAGGGUUUCCGCC
rnacentral:rRNA from 1 species